rnacentral:rRNA from 1 species
AUUGAACGCUGGCGGCAGGCUUAACACAUGCAAGUCGAGCGGGGUGAUGGUGCUUGCACUAUCACUUAGCGGCGGACGGGUGAGUAAUGCUUAGGAAUCUGCCUAUUAGUGGGGGACAACAUCUCGAAAGGGAUGCUAAUACCGCAUACGUCCUACGGGAGAAAGCAGGGGAUCACUUGUGACCUUGCGCUAAUAGAUGAGCCUAAGUCGGAUUAGCUAGUUGGUGGGGUAAAGGCCUACCAAGGCGACGAUCUGUAGCGGGUCUGAGAGGAUGAUCCGCCACACUGGGACUGAGACACGGCCCCGACUCCUACGGGCGGCAGCAGUGGGGAAUAUUGGACAAUGGGGGGAACCCUGAUCCAGCCAUGCCGCGUGUGUGAAGAAGGCCUUAUGGUUGUAAAGCACUUUAAGCGAGGAGGAGGCUCUUUUGGUUAAUACCCAAGAUGAGUGGACGUUACUCGCAGAAUAAGCACCGGCUAACUCUGUGCCAGCAGCCGCUGUAA